AUCCCGGAAUAACCGGUGAAGACGGCUCCCCGGAACCCCCGCCCCUAGCGGGCUCUCCCGGACCCCCGGCCCGCGCUGGUCUUUGCCAGGACCCCCCUCCCGCGCAAAGGAUCAAGUCCCAGCUUCCCUUUCCCCCCCGAGAGUCUCCAGCGCCAACCGCCGGCCGUCGGGCGGGUCCCUAACCCGCAGUUACUCAGCUACCUCUCUGGUGGAGGAGGUGUCAGCGACUUGAGAAUAAGUGCGCCAAAGAAGACAGAGCCACGCCUGAGCCUCCUUCAGCAAAGCCUGCACUUCCUGUUCUCUUCUCAAGCGUGCUGUCAGCAGAUCUUGACUGAAACCUCUGUGCCCUACACUGUCCUUGGCACCAGACGCAGGGGAAAGGAUCAGGCCCAGUCCCUCCUCUGACUGACAGUGCUAAACCAGCUACCUGUUCUGAGCAAGCCCUUUGAAGACUGGGAACACGGAUUUGCCCAACAGCUGCCUGGCUUAAGGGUUAGGCUGUUGAUAUAAAAAUACAUGGCUAACGUAACCUA